AAGCACCUUCCCAUCCUGGCAGAGUCUAUAUUAGAGAGCGCAAUGGCUCUAUAUAAACAGGGCAGCCAAAGGGAGGAGGACCACAAGGAGCAGGGACUGAAAAGCAGGGGAAGCUGCAGCAGCCAUGAUGGAUCGAUCUCUCUCUGAGAGUCGCAAACAAGGGGGCCAAGUCUCCACGUCGAAGGUAUGACGGGAUUUUGUUUCCCCUUCGCCAUUUUAACGAUUCUAAAGGAGAUGGGACAAGUGCUUUUCAACCUUCUUUUGAAAACGUAAAAUGGCCCCAUCCAGCUCCAAAGAAACUAACCACCACAAAACUCAAAGGUCGCCUCACACUUUGCGCUAAUCCAAGGCAUCCUCGUUCAACAAAAAAAAAAAAAAAAGAAAAAAAAGAAAAAAGAAAUAAAAGAAACACCCCCCCACCCCCAGCAAACUGGACCGGGGCGGGGUCUGGGAGAUUAAUCUUCUUCCCCAAGACCCGGAUUUCUCCCCCUCGAUCGGAACCGAACAGUUGAGUGCUGCCAAGCGGGACAAGCCCGCUCCUGGCCAGCUCGGGCUUCGGGACUCUCGGGCUUCCCGGGGCCACUUCUCUUGCCUCACUCGUCGGGAGGGAUUGCCAUAGACUUCGGUUGCCCCGGAGAAUCAGACUCCUUUCUAAACUCCU